AUGUUAUCAAGAAAGGCAGAGGGAAUAGACCCGAUGAAGCCUUAGCAACCCUUAGACUUACUAAGAAGGUGCUAAAUUCUACUUGAUUAGCGAAUCAUUUCUCGCUUAUUCUAGAUAGAUAACCA
rnacentral:ncRNA from 2 species